GACGAACGCUGGCGGCGUGCCUAACACAUGCAAGUCGAACGGAAAGGCCCUGCUUUUGUGGGGUGCUCGAGUGGCGAACGGGUGAGUAACACGUGAGUAACCUGUCCUUGACUUUGGGAUAACUUCAGGAAACUGGGGCUAAUACCGGAUAGGAGCUCUUGCUGCAUGGUGGGGGUUGGAAAGUUUCGGCGGUUGGGGAUGGACUCGCGGCUUAUCAGCUUGUUGGUGGGGUAGUGGCUGACCAAGGCUUUGACGGGUAGCCGGCCUGAGAGGGGGACCGGCCACAUUAGGACUGAGAUACGGCCCAGACUCGUACGGGAGGCAGCGGUGGGGAAUAUUACACAAUAGGCGGGAGCGUGAUGCGACACCGCCGCGUGCGGGAUGACGGCCUUCGGGUUGUGAACCGCUUUCGCCUUUGACGAGGCGUUAGUGACGGUAAUGGGUAAAGAAGCACCGGCUAACUACGUG
rnacentral:rRNA from 1 species